UACGGAGGGUGCAAGCGUUAUCCGGAUUCACUGGGUUUAAAGGGUGCGUAGGUGGGUUGGUAAGUCAGUGGUGAAAUCCCCGAGCUUAACUUGGGAAUUGCGCUCGAAACUACGUGGCUCGAGUGUGGCAGAGGGAGGUGGAAUUCCACGUGUAGCAGUGAAAUGCGUAGAGAUGUGGAGGAACACCGAUGGCGAAGGCAGCCCCCUGGGUUAACACUGACGCUCAGGCACGAAAGCGUGGGGAGCAAACAGG
rnacentral:rRNA from 1 species